GCCCGAGCGGGCGUCUGCCGCCGCUCAGCCCCAGCGCCGCGCGAAGCACGAGGCGGCCGGGAGCACGGUGCGGCCGAGGCAGGCGGCCAGGGGUCAGCCGCUCUGGAAGCGGCUUAGGAGCGAGCCCCAGCGCGGGGAUAACGGUGCCCUGGCCUCGCGGUGCCGGCACGCGGCAGCCCCGGGGCGCGAGUCGCAGCAGGUCGGCUGCCUCGCUCCCCUCGGGGCGGCACCCCCCUCCCCCCGCACAGCACACACGGGGUGCGGGGACCGCGUGUAAAGCGGUCUCCCCGCACAGCCCCGUACAUCCUGAACAGCCACGGAGAGAAAGGCGGGGCGCCAGGGCCCUCUGGGCCCGCAUUGCGCGGAGCUUUGUGCGGAAUGAGUAGCACCGAGCUGCGGCUGAGGAGCAGGCUGUUAUUAGUGAAUAGAAUCGCUAUUUGCUCUGACCAGGAAUGUCCCGUGUAACCAGAUUUCAAAAAUAAAGACGACAAAAAGCAGCAUUCCCAGUGAAAAGGCAUCUUCGUACACUGCCUUUGUCAGCAACGGAUCAAAGGUAAACUUCCAGUCACAUAUAAAGCAAACAAACAAACCAAAAAACCCACAAACAACGAGAUGCUGGUCUUUCACAUGUAUCAGAAAUAAGGAGCAGAAAUCAAAUGUCUCAUGCCAGUCUGGAACUGAAUGAUUAGACGAUCUUUAGCAGUGGAGGCUGAAAAAGGCUUGGCUGAGUGACUACUGAAAGGAUACCUGAGAGAAGGAAUGCAUUGUACCUCUGUUGAAUACCUGAGUAAGAAUUUCAGAACUUGGCCUGGAGAUUGGUUGCACUUAAAGAUUAUGGAGGACUGCCUGGAGUAGACAGAUCUGCAAUUGAAAGCCCUUCACUUGCAGAGGCAGAACCAUCAGGUCUCUAAAGUCUGUCAUAUGUUGUUAAAGAAACCAAACUGUGGAAGGAUAAUGCUCCACAUGAAAAGCUCAAGAGUGGAGGAGAACUGUAGACUAAAUGGUUGCCAACUAUGGAUAUUAAAAGAUACUUUAGCCAGUCUGUGCCAAGAAGAAACUUACUAGUAGACACAAGAUUGGUGAGACAUCAUUCCAAUAUGGCUCUUAGCUACGUCUCACAAAUUUCAGUAAGUUCUAAUUGUUAUUUAAAUGUAGAUGUUUUCCAGCUAUUAGUCUUUCUUCCAUUUUGUUUGGAUUGAUCUUCAGCCAGUUUUCUCCAACUCACACUCUCAGUUUGGGUAGGUCUGGAGAUCAAAGGCUUUUU